CGCGUCAAUGAAGACAUCCCAUUAGACUCUUACCCAUUGACUGUGACAUAAGGGAGCAUUGUUUACAUCACAUCAUAAGAGCUAUGGGAUCGCCGGAGGCAGUUGCCAUCCAGAUAAACCUAAUGGAUAGACUAACUUUAAAUAGGUUAUCACGUGACAUCUGAUAGGCUGAAUGGGGUUUGGCCAUGGUAUGCCAAAUGGUUGCAAGGAGCAUAAGGGUGCAAGCCAAGCAGUGCUAGGACAUUAGGUCUAGAGUCAAUGCAUCUAGUGAUGUGAU
rnacentral:lncRNA from 1 species